rnacentral:snRNA from 1 species
GUGCUUGCUUUGGCAGCACAUAUACUAACAUUGGAAAGAUACAGGGAUUAACAUAGCCCCUGUGCAAGGAUGACACACAAAUUUGUGAAGUGUUCCAUAUUUUU